UUGACAGCACUGGAGACUGAAAGUUAUUAAAUCACAGAACAGAUACAGCACAGGCAAUGACAGUGCAUGCUUAUCCUUUUCUGGAGGGCCAUAUUUAGAGUAGUAGCUAGUCUCCAUGGAGGGCCAUAUUUAGAGUAGUAGCUAGUCUCCAUGACCAUUUAGCCCUCUACCUGA
rnacentral:sRNA from 1 species